CGCCGAACCGAGGCUUCACCUCCACCCAGCUACAUCGCCUCCUCCCCAUUACCACUCCUGAGCCGAGCAAACCGAGGGGGAGAGCUCCGGCUUUUCUUUUCCAUCUCGACCUUGCCGCCGGCCGUGAAGACGACGGCCGUUGCCAUCGCCAUUGUGCCGUGCCACGGGAACGCAGAGCUCGCCGACGAUGCUCUGGAGCGCGCACUGGACGCCGUCAUCGGGUUCUCAUCGUCGUUCCGACCGAACCGAACCACCCCAAGCCGAACCCUUGCGCCACCAGGAUCACCUCGACGUCCUCUUCAAGAUACCCCAAGAAAACCCAUCCAAUGGCGCAGCGAUCUUGGAGAUCGACAUCGUGUUCUCCAACUCCAUUCAAUCGCUUCCAUCAUCGAUUCCAUUCUCUCCGUGACUCCCCUUACAGAUCGAGCAGCCGACGUCAUUCCUGGAGUUGUGCCAUGCCGCCAUGGAGCUUCGCCGUCGCUGUGGCUCUGCAGACAUCCCUAGCCUUGUCUAGCAUCUCGGUUUUAGAUUUAGUCUUUGAGUGAUGCGGGUAAUCGACUGCUUCUUCUAGGACUUGGAACUUAAUGGGGGUAAACCCCUAGUCGGUGUGCUUGUGGUUUGGGUAGACAAGCUUCCGUUGUUCUCUUAUAUAUCUAUUUGGCCGGUCGGCCUAUGUAACUAUUAAGUUGAUUUAAGUCUUUAAGUUCUUUUCUUCAAGUUGAUGUAAGUCUUUAAGUCCUUUUCUUCUUAAAUGUGUCUGCUAUGUAUGUCCAUGCUUAAGAUGAAAGUGUGAAUCUAGUGUAUAUCCUGGGAACUAGAUUCACAUGAGUAUGAGUUAAGAAUAUUUGAGAUGUUGUA